rnacentral:rRNA from 1 species
AUACGGAGGGGGUUAGCGUUGUUCGGAAUUACUGGGCGUAAAGCGUACGUAGGCGGAUCGGAAAGUAAGGGGUGAAAUCCCAGGGCUCAACCCUGGAACUGCCUCUUAAACUCCCGGUCUUGAGUUCGAGAGAGGUGAGUGGAAUUCCUAGUGUAGAGGUGAAAUUCGUAGAUAUUAGGAGGAACACCAGUGGCGAAGGCGGCUCACUGGCUCGAUACUGACGCUGAGGUACGAAAGUGUGGGGAGCAAACAGGAUUAGAAACCCCAGUAGUCC